rnacentral:rRNA from 1 species
UAACACAUGCAAGUCGAACGGAGCUGAGAGGAGCUUGCUUUUCUCAGCUUAGUGGCGAACGGGUGAGUAACGCGUGAGUAACCUGCCCUGGAGUGGGGGACAACAGUUGGAAACGACUGCUAAUACCGCAUAAGCCCACGGCCCGGCAUCGGGCUGCGGGAAAAGGAUUUAUUCGCUUCAGGAUGGACUCGCGUCCAAUUAGCUAGUUGGUGAGGUAACGGCCCACCAAGGCGACGAUUGGUAGCCGGACUGAGAGGUUGAACGGCCACAUUGGGACUGAGACACGGCCCAGACUCCUACGGGAGGCAGCAGUGGGGGAUAUUGCACAAUGGGGGAAACCCUGAUGCAGCGACGCCGCGUGGAGGAAGAAGGUUUUCGGAUUGUAAACUCCUGUCGUUAGGGACGAUAAUGACGGUACCUAACAAGAAAGCACCGGCUAACUACGUGCCAGCAGCCGCGGUAAAACGUAGGGUGCAAGCGUUGUCCGGAAUUACUGGGUGUAAAGGGAGCGCAGGCGGACCGGCAAGUUGGAAGUGAAAACUAUGGGCUCAACCCAUAAAUUGCUUUCAAAACUGCUGGCCUUGAGUAGUGCAGAGGUAGGUGGAAUUCCCGGUGCAGCGGUGGAAUGCGUAGAUAUCGGGAGGAACACCAGUGGCGAAGGCGACCUACUGGGCACCAACUGACGCUGAGGCUCGAAAGCAUGGGUAGCAAACAGGAUUAGAUACCCUGGUAGUCCAUGCCGUAAACGAUGAUUACUAGGUGUUGGAGGAUUGACCCCUUCAGUGCCGCAGUUAACACAAUAAGUAAUCCACCUGGGGAGUACGACCGCAAGGUUGAAACUCAAAGGAAUUGACGGAAGGGC